GACAGAGGGUGCAAACGUUGUUCGGAUUUACUGGGCGUAAAGCGCGUGUAGGCGGCUUUGCAAGUCGGAUGUGAAAUCCCACGGCUCAACCGUGGAAGUGCAUCCGAAACUGCAUCGCUCGAGUCUCGGAGAGGAAGGUGGAAUGCUUGGUGUAGAGGUGAAAUUCGUAGAUAUUCGCAAGAACACCAGUGGCGAAGGCGGCUCACUGGCCCGGUACUGACGCUGAGGUGCGAAAGCGUGGGGAGCAAACAGG
rnacentral:rRNA from 1 species